rnacentral:snoRNA from 1 species
GGCCAGUGAUGUAUGGUAAUUGUCCGUACCAUAUGAGGAGCUUCACGGCUC